UUCUUCCCCGGGAACUGGAACCGAACCCCCGCUAACGCGACCCGUCCUCCGGGAACGGGACAGCCGUGACCACCGGACGGGACCCCCCCUCCCCCAGCACAUGCGGGACCCCACCACCCAGACACGGGACCCUCACGUUUCAGAGGAGCGAUGCUUCAGGGAUGCCAGGCUCACCCCCAGCUCUGCUUGUUGCCUCGUGCCGCCGUGCAGCCGUGGCCUCGCAGCAGGGAAGAGGCAGAGCAGCUCCUAAUGAGGCUCUGGGAGCACUCUGAGCCUCUUGGCUCGUGAGCAGAGAGCCGCAGGUGGGAGCCCCAGCCCUGUGGACCGUGGCAGCAUCGGCGCUAAAACGCAGCCAAGCUUCCAGAAGCUUCUCUCAAAGAACGCUGCUGCUUAUCUCUGUGUGUUCCUGGUACGUGCUCGGUUCUUUCCCCAUCCCCAUCCCAUCCCCACCCCACAAACGGCCAUGCCAGCGCUCAUGCAUUUUUCAGCAGCAAUGUUCCCUGCAUCCCUGGGGCUGCGGGGACGGCGCUGCCCAUCCCGCUCUGGAGAAGGCAUCUCAUGGGCUGACGAACCUGAGAUUGACCCUCAUGUUUCACCAUUCUCAGAUGGCGGCACCUUGGGAGCAUCAGAGAGCUUCUGCAAGGCUUGCCCAAAAUCUCUCACCCAAAAUCUGCAGAGAUGCCCUGCAAGAUUUGCACCAGCUCCAGCUCCAUCCCUGCGCCCGCUGCGCCCGCGCCGCUUUUAUGGCCCUCCCUGUCCUCGUGGCUCGGUGGAGUCAAGCCGGGCUACAGCGAAUUGCCACACUUUCUG